rnacentral:misc_RNA from 1 species
GACAGAGGGUGCAAACGUUGCUCGGAAUUACUGGGCGUAAAGCGCGUGUAGGCGGAUUGGUGUGUCAGAUGUGAAAGCCCUGGGCUCAACCCAGGAACUGCACCUGAAACUACCAGUCUUGAGUGGUGGAGAGGGAAGUGGAAUUCCUGGUGUAGAGGUGAAAUUCGUAGAUAUCAGGAGGAACACCGGUGGCGAAGGCGGCUUCCUGGACACUAACUGACGCUGAGACGCGAAAGCGUGGGGAGCAAACAGG